rnacentral:rRNA from 1 species
AUUGAACGCUGGCGGCAGGCCUAACACAUGCAAGUCGGACGGUAGCACAGAGGAGCUUGCUCCUCGGGUGACGAGUGGCGGACGGGUGAGUAAUGUCUGGGGAUCUGCCCGAUAGAGAGGGAUAACCACUGGAAACGGUGGCUAAUACCGCAUAACGUUGCAAGACCAAAGAGGGGGACCUUCGGGCCUCUCACUAUCGGAUGAACCCAGAUGGGAUUAGCUAGUAGGCGGGGUAAUGGCCCACCUAGGCGACGAUCCCUAGCUGGUCUGAGAGGAUGACCAGCAACACUGGAACUGAGACACGGUCCAGACUCCUACGGGAGGCAGCAGUGGGGAAUAUUGCACAAUGGGCGCAAGCCUGAUGCAGCCAUGCCGCGUGUAUGAAGAAGGCCUUCGGGUUGUAAAGUACUUUCAGCGGGGAGGAAGGCGGUGAGGUUAAUAACCUUGCCGAUUGACGUUACCCGCAGAAGUAGCACCGGCUAACUCCGUGCCAGCAGCCGCCGUAA